rnacentral:rRNA from 1 species
UACGUAGGGCGCAAGCGUUGUCCGGAAUUAUUGGGCGUAAAGAGCUCGUAGGCGGCCUGUUGCGUCCGCUGUGAAAUCCCGGGGCUCAACCCCGGGCCUGCAGUGGAUACGGGCUGGCUAGAGGCAGGCAGGGGAGAACGGAAUUCCUGGUGUAGCGGUGAAAUGCGCAGAUAUCAGGAGGAAUACCGGUGGUGUAGACGGCUCUCUGGACCGCCACUGACGCUGAGACACGAAAGCGUGGGUAGCAAACAGG